UCGAUAACGAACGAGACCUUAUCCUGCUAAAUAGGCGGCGCUGCCCUCGUGGCAGUGUUUCCGCCUUCUUAGAGGGACUAUCUGUGACUAACAGAUGGAAGAAAGGCAAUAACAGGUCUGUGAUGCCCUUAGAUGUUCUGGGCCGCACGCGCGCUACACUGACAAAGCCAGCGAGUCUCCUGGACCGGAAGGUUUGGGUAAUCUUGUGAAACUUUGUCGUGAUGGGGAUUGACCAUUGCAAUUAUUGGUCAUGAACGAGGAAUUCCUAGUAAGUGCGAGUCAUCAGCUCGCGCUGAUUACGUCCCUGUCCUUUGUACACACCGCCCGUCGAUAAUACCGAUUGAAUGGAUCG
rnacentral:rRNA from 1 species